rnacentral:lncRNA from 1 species
AUGGCGCGGCCGCUGCUGCCGCUGCUCUGCGGUACCGUCGUCCUCCUGCUGCCCUGGGCCGCCGCCGCCGCCGGUAAGGGGAAGGCGGGGGGGGGGGGGGGGGAGUCCUCCGGGCUCCCCGGCUCGCCGCCGGCAUGCCCACGCUACUCCCCGGGGUGCCCGCGCCGUCCCUGGGGUGCUCGCUCCGCUUCCCGGGGUGCCCACGCUACUCCUCAGGGUGCCCACGCUGUCCCUGGGGUGCUCGCUCCGCUUCCCGGGGUGCCCACGCUACUCCUCAGGGUGCCCACGCUGUCCCUGGGGUGCUCACUUUGCUUCCAGGGGUGCCCACGCUACUCUUCAGGGUGCCCACGCUGUCCCUGGGGUGCUCGCUCCGCUUCCCGGGGUGCCCACGCUACUCUUCAGGGUGCCCACGCUGUCCCUGGGGUGCUCGCUCCGCUUCCCGGGGUGCCCAAGCCAUCCCUGGGGUGCUCGCUUUGCUUGCAGGGGUACCCACGCUACUCCUCGGGGUACCCAUGCCAUCCCUGGGGUGCUCGCUCAGCUUCCAGGGGUGCCCACGCUACUCCUCAGGGUGCCCACGCUGUCCCUGGGGUGCUCACUUUGCUUCCCGGGGUGCCCAAGCCAUCCCUGGGGUGCUCGCUUUGCUUGCAGGGGUACCCACGCUACUCCUCGGGGUACCCAUGCCAUCCCUGGGGUGCUCGCUUUGCUUCCCAGGGUGCCCACGCUGUCCCUGGGGUGCUCACUUUGCUUCCAGGGGUACCCACACCACUCCCCGGGGUGCCCACGCCAUCCCUGGGGUGCUCGCUCCGCUUCCCGGGGUGUCCACGCUACUCCUCACGGUGCCCACGCUGUCCCUGGGGUGCUCACUUUGCUUCCCAGGGUGCCCACACCAUCCCUGGGGUGCUCGCUUUGCUUCCAGGGGUACCCACGCUACUCCUCGGGGUGCCCAUGCUGUCCCUGGGGUGCUCGCUCCGCUUCCCGGGGUGCCCACGCCAUCCCUGGGGUGCUCGCUUUGCUUCCCAGGGUGCCCACGCUGUCCCUGGGGUGCUCGCUUUGCUUCCUGGGGUACCCACACUACUCCUCGGGGUGCCCAUGCAGUCCCUGGGGUGCUCACUCCGCUUCCCAGGGUGCCCAUGCUACUCCCCAGGGUGCUUGCUCUGCUUCCCAGGGUGCCCACACUACUCCCUGGGGUGCCCAUGCCGUCGCUGGGGUGCUCGCUCUGCUUCCAGGGGUGCCCACGCUACUCCUCAGGGUGCUCGCUCCGCUUCCCAGGCUGCCCACGCUACUCCUCAGGGUGCCCACGCCGUCGCUGGGGUGCUCACUUUGCUUCCAGGGGUACCCACGCCAUCCCUGGGGUGCUCGCUCCGCUUCCCGGGGUGCCCACACUACUCCUCAGGGUGCCCACGCUGUCCCUGGGGUGCUCGCUUUGCUUCCAGGGGUACCCACGCUACUCCCCAGGGUGUCCUCACUGUCCCUGGGAUGCCCACUCUACUUCCAGGGGUGUCCACACUGUCUCUGGGGUGCUCCCUCUGUUUCCCAGGGAGUCCACGCUACUCCUUGGGUUGCCCACGCCAUCCCUGGGGUGCUCGCUCAGCUUCCCGGGGUGUCCACGCUACUCCUUGGGGUGCCCACACUGCUCCCCAAGGUGCUCGCUCCGCUUCCUGGGGUGCCCACGCUUCUCCUUGGGUACCCGAGCUCCCACUCAGGGUUUCCACGCUGCACCCCGGGGUACCCGCGCUGCUCCCUGCGUGCCCUCACCUCUCUCUAGGUGCCCCAUGCCCACCCCCGGGGUACCCACGCCGCUCCCCGGGGUGCUCAGGCUGCACCACCGUGUUCCCCUUGCACUCCCCUGCGUGCCCACCUCCCGCCCUGGGUGCCCACGCCACCUCCCCACCAGUGUCCAGGGAGGCUGCGGGUAAUUUUUAG